rnacentral:lncRNA from 1 species
GUACAAUAAGAACUUCAAGACACUGAAGAAGGAAAUUGAAGAAGACCUCAGAAGAUGGAAAGAUCUCCCAUGCUCAUGGAUUGGCAGGAUUAAUAUAGUAAAAAUGGCCAUUUUACCAAAAGCAAUCUACAGAUUCAAUGCAAUCCCCAUCAAAAUACCAAUCCAAUUCUUCAAAGAGUUAGACAGAACAAUUUGCAAAUUCAUCUGGAAUAACAAAAAACCCAGGAUAGCUAAAGCUAUCCUCAACAAUAAAAGGACUUCAGGGGGAAUCACUAUCCC